GGGGCCCUACGGGGGGCAGCAGUAGGGAAUCUUCCACAAUGGGCGCAAGCCUGAUGGAGCAACACCGCGUGAGUGAAGAAAGGUUUCGGCUCGUAAAGCUCUGUUGUUGGAGAAGAACGUGCGUGAGAGCAACUGUUCACGCAGUGACGGUAUCCAACCAGAAAGUCACGGCUAACUACGUGCCAGCAGCCGCGGUAAUACGUAGGUGGCAAGCGUUAUCCGGAUUUAUUGGGCGUAAA
rnacentral:rRNA from 1 species